rnacentral:piRNA from 1 species
UUCCCUCCUGUUGUGGACCUAAGCAAUUAC